UGGGGAAUAUUGGACAAUGGGCGAAAGCCUGAUCCAGCAAUGCCGCGUGAGUGAUGAAGGCCUUAGGGUUGUAAAGCUCUUUUACCCGGGAUGAUAAUGACAGUACCGGGAGAAUAAGCUCCGGCUAACUCCGUGCCAGCAGCCGCGGUAAUACGGAGGGAGCUAGCGUUGUUCGGAAUUACUGGGCGUAAAGCGCGCGUAGGCGGACUCUUAAGUCGGUGGUGAAAUCCUGGAGCUCAACUCCAGAACUGCCUUCGAUACUGGGAGUCUCGAGUUCGGGAGAGGUGAGUGGAACUGCGAGUGUAGAGGUGAAAUUCGUAGAUAUUCGCAAGAACACCAGGGGCGAAGGCGGCUCACUGGCCCGAUACUGACGCUGAGGUGCGAAAGCGUGGGGAGCAAA
rnacentral:rRNA from 1 species